ensembl:snRNA U6 U6 spliceosomal RNA
GUGCUCGCUUUGGCAGCACGUAUACUAAAACUGGAACGAUACAGAGAAAAUUAGCAUGGCCCCUGUGCAAGGAUGACACGCAAAUUCAUGAAGCAUUCCAUAUUUUU